AGAGCUUGCUCGGAUUUGACGUUUGACGCUUCGGAGUUGCGAACGGGUGAGUAACACGUGGGGAACCUCCCUCUCUGCGGGGGAUAACACAUAGAAAUGUGUGCUAAUACCGCAUAAUUGCUUUUGCCGCAUGACAAAAGUAUGAAAGGCGCAAUUGCGUCACUGAGAGAUGGCCCCGCGGUGCAUUAGCUAGUUGGUGAGGUAACGGCUCACCAAGGCAACGAUGCAUAGCCGACCUGAGAGGGUGAUCGGCCACAUUGGGACUGAGACACGGCCCAAACUCCUACGGGAGGCAGCAGUAGGGAAUCUUCGGCAAUGGACGCAAGUCUGACCGAGCAACGCCGCGUGAGUGAUGAAGGUUUUCGGAUCGUAAAACUCUGUUGAUAGAGAAGAACAAGAGGAAGAGUGGAAAGCUUCCUCCUUGACGGUAUCUAUCCAGAAAGCCACGGCUAACUACGUGCCAGCAGCCGCGGUAAUACGUAGGUGGCAAGCGUUGUCCGGAUUUAUUGGGCGUAAAGCGAGCGCAGGCGGUUGAUUAAGUCUGAUGUGAAAGCCCCCGGCUCAACCGGGGAGGGUCAUUGGAAACUGGUCAACUUGAGUGCAGGAGAGGAGAGUGGAAUUCCAUGUGUAGCGGUGAAAUGCGUAGAUAUAUGGAGGAACACCAGUGGCGAAGGCGGCUCUCUGGCCUGUAACUGACGCUGAGGCUCGAAAGCGUGGGGAGCGAACAGGAUUAGAUACCCUGGUAGUCCACGCGAACGUGGUGUAUGUGAGGUC
rnacentral:rRNA from 1 species